GUGCCAGCCGCCGCGGUAAUACGGAGGGUGCAAGCGUUGUCCGGAAUCACUGGGCGUAAAGGGUGUGCAGGCGGGGCAGCAAGUCGGAUGUGAAAGCCCGUGGCUCAACCACGGAAGCGCCUUCGAUACUGCAGCUCUUGAGUCCCGGAGAGGCUGUCGGAAUUCGUGGUGUAGCGGUGAAAUGCGUAGAUAUCACGAGGAACACCAGAGGCGUAAGCGGACAGCUGGACGGGUACUUACGCUCAGGCGCGAAAGCGAGGGGAGCAAACAGGAUUAGAAACCCGAGUAGUCC
rnacentral:rRNA from 1 species